UUGAUUUUUCUUAAAAUGGCGUUAAUUUUAUGGAUUAAUUUGUUCUUUUUGUUGUUCAUUUUUUUGAUGAAUUUAAUUGCAGAUUGGACUGUUUCUGUUUAUCCUGGAGGUGAUUUUGCUAGGCAUUCAUUUAUUGGGUAAUUUCGCGCAACUUUAGAAAAGAGGGUUUUUUUUAAUUGAUUAAACAAAUUUGGAAGGCUAUAAGAUCUCAUGAGAAUUGUUAGGGGAAUGCAAAGAUUGAUUCGUGGGAAGAAGAAAUCAUUCACCCGAGGGAUUGACGUGACUUUACCGAAGGCAAGAACUCGUGAUAAGUUGAAAACCAGGGUUUUGCAACUCUAAAUCGGAGUUAGUUUUUUUUGGGGAACGAAUUAGGGUAGGGUUUAAGUUGAAGAGGAGAGAGAGAGAAAAUGGCUCGAAUAUUGGUUCAGAGAGGUUCUAGUGGGUCAUCAUCGAGCACCAAUAGGCUUGAUAGAUUCGGUCCAUUUUCUUCUGCUCCUACUCAGGCUCCAAUUAUUACUUCAGAAGGAGAAAAUUUUAGAGGAAGCUCAAGAAAAGGAUCUUGUUGAUGAGUUUCCUGAGAAUUCGGGUUCUCUUGAUAGUAAGGUUUUUUACAUGGUGAUGAUAUAUUUUGGUGCAGUGAUAAGCC
rnacentral:lncRNA from 1 species